CGUAAGAACUUGCCUCACAGCUAGGGACAACAUUUAGAAAUGAAUGCUAAUACCUGAUAUUAUGAUUUUAAGGCAUCUUAGAAUUAUGAAAGCUAUAAGCACUGUGAGAGAGCUUUGCGUCCCAUUAGCUAGUUGGAGAGGUAACAGCUCACCAAGGCGAUGAUGGGUAGCCGGCCUGAGAGGGUGAACGGCCACAAGGGGACUGAGACACGGCCCUU
rnacentral:rRNA from 1 species